rnacentral:lncRNA from 1 species
GUAACAUAACACAUGUUAUACUUUUUUACUUCAAUAAUCAGAUAACAAAUUUCCUCUUUUACCAGCCUACUAGUAUCCAUAGGGAUACAUAAGGGGCUCCCGCUACACGUGAACCAUUAAUAUUAAUAACCUGAUUCCAGGUCAUCCCCAUACCCCGUCCGGUAUGGGCGCCAAAACCAUAAAACUCAAUACCCCGUCCGGUAUGAGGGUAAAACGGGCCGUCCCCAUAC